CUUUCCUCACCCUCCACCUCUUCUGUCUUGGUCUGAAGCCCUUGAAAAAAAAAAAAAAAACCAAAAAAAAAAACAACUGGACUCCCUGUAAAGGCCAUUCUCAGUCAGAAGAACAUGCAUUUCAUCAAGACUCACUGCUGUUCAUAUUUCCACAAAAGCUUCUAAAUGCAAUAAAAGCAGCACAAAAAAAGGACACACUUCCUGUUGCUGUUUAAAAGAAGAAAGCAGAAAACAGCUCAGAAUUAACAUCCUGGUUCCCCUCCCAAGAUGAGUGUUUUUAAAAAGCCCAAAGUAUAACAGCAGUAAUAACAGAGAGAUGCCAUUGUUUCAAACCUUUUCUUUCCCUUGUUCUUUUUAUUCUUUGCUUUGUGUUUUGACAGCUGUGAAUAAUUCUGCACCCUGGAAUUGUUCUGCAGGCUAUUAAUGUCUGUGACCUUUUGCAUCAACAACAGCUCUACUUUCCAGUCAUUUCUGGAAGUGCUACCUAAUAUGAAUUUAACAUGACUGAGGCAGCCUCCUACACACACACACACACAGAGGUCUUUCUGAGACAUGCAGGAGUGUGCUUCAUCCCAUCCAUAUACAAGACAAUUAAAUCCCUUCAUCAGAGAUUUAUCUGCCUUGCAAACAGCUGUGUUUCAUGGCAACAGGCAACAACCACCCCAAGUUACAACCUCCCCAAGUGCUCCUGGGGAAAUAAAAGGAGGUGGGAUGAUUUCAUUAUAUGAGGAAAAUAAGAUCUCUCUAAGUCUGAGCCAUUCUCAGACUUAAUGGGGUUCUCCUUUGAGUAGCUCUGCUGCUGCUUUUACUUUUUAAGAGUGUGUAAAGAACCCAUAUGUGAUCAAACAGAUAUCAAGAGCAUUCUCCAAAUCUGUGAUCACAUGCCUGCUACAUCAAGAGGGCCUCUCGUUCUUUUUAGAUUCAUUUCAUCAGACUGGAGUCUAGUUCCCAAUGGUACAGCAGUGCUGCAGGAGUCUCCAUGCUGGAAACAAGCAGCGGGUGUCCUCUUGCAAAAUAAACUAAAUGGCUUCUUAUUUUUUCUCCAGUCACACAGACCAGUGAGCAGAGCCUUCUGGAAAAUUUCCCCUGAAAUCCAUUUGUCAGGGAAAAAUGAGUUUCUGACAAAACAAAACAUUUCAUGAAAUUUAUCGUCCUCAUGGUAUAUAUUACAUGUUCCUAAAAAUCUGUUCAAUUAAAUUCUUUUUAGAUGAAGUUCUUCACAUUCUCUAAUGAGGAGCUGACUAGUUGUAAGGCAAAUUAAGACCAAAAAAAUGUUCUAGCCUGAUUUGUGUUUACAUUUUCCUUGGAAAAAAAUCCCUCAUCACAUAGGCAUGUAACAAAUGGGCUGGCUGAUCAGGGAACCACAGUACCAAGGAAAGCAGACAUGAUGUUCUGGAAAAAAACAAAACUAAAUUGCUCCUUCCUAUAAUAAAGAUUUUUGCAGCUGGGAUUAAGGGGUGGGGGGUAACAUUAUAAAUGUAGGCAAACAUUUCAGGAUUCUUGAGAAAUCCUGAGUUCCUGGGAAUGAGUGAUCCUCUCAGAAACCCGUUUUCCAAAGUGGAAGAUGACUGUGAUUUUUCAGACUGUCUAUAUAAUACAGUACACAAUGAUGAACCUUCAUCUGGAAACCAUUACAAUAUAAAUUGUGAUUAAUCCUACCA